AUUGAACGCUGGCGGCAUGCCUUACACAUGCAAGUCGAACGGCAGCACGGACUUCGGUCUGGUGGCGAGUGGCGAACGGGUGAGUAAUGUAUCGGAACGUACCUUUCAGUGGGGGAUAACGUAGCGAAAGUUACGCUAAUACCGCAUAUUCUGUGAGCAGGAAAGCAGGGGAUCGCAAGACCUUGCGCUGAUUGAGCGGCCGAUAUCAGAUUAGCUAGUUGGUGGGGUAAAGGCCUACCAAGGCGACGAUCUGUAGCGGGUCUGAGAGGAUGAUCCGCCACACUGGAACUGAGACACGGUCCAGACUCCUACGGGAGGCAGCAGGUGGGGAAUUUUGGACAAUGGGGGCAACCCUGAUCCAGCCAUGCCGCGUGAGUGAAGAAGGCCUUCGGGUUGUAAAGCUCUUUCGGCCGGGAAGAAAUCGCAUAGGCUAAUACCCUGUGUGGAUGACGGUACCGGAAUAAGAAGCACCGGCUAACUACGUG
rnacentral:rRNA from 1 species